GCUUCGAUAGCUCAACUGGUCAGAGCACAGUACUGAAGAUGCUGGGGAAGAAGUUCAAGUCUUUUUCGAGGCC